rnacentral:lncRNA from 1 species
UCUUGGGUUCGCGGUGGAACAUCCAAGUGCCAAGUUGGGUUGGCAAAACAGCUAAGGUGAAGGAGUUGGAGUCACUCGUGAGGAAUAUCUUUAGAGAACAGUCGGCUCUUCAGAACCAAAGAGCACAGGACUUUCAAGGACCCCACUAGUGUCUCGUGAGUGGUCCUGAAGCUCUCCGCCGUUUUGAGCUUAUGGCAGCGGUUUAUUGUAAGCCCUGGAGGUGCGCUGCUGUGCAAGCUGCAGGACUCUCCACAAAGUUUCUCAGGAUGACUACACAAACUUACUUAUGUGCUGCCUUUAGAGGACGUUGCCACAUUUCGCCCCUGGCGACAUUGUGGCAGAUCUUUUUCCUUCCCCAUUUCUGCUUUUUCCUGAGUUACUUGUCUUUUACCAUCGUCCCUCUUGGGUUGCACUGAUCAAUUUAGUUCCCUGUCUCCUCCUAGGGCUAUCCAGCAUGUAGUCGGGGGUCUACAAGGGACACAAGGAGAAGUGGGUUUGUUUGUUUGUUUGUUGCUUUUUUGUUUUUUUGCAGCCUGGCAGCCAGCCUCUGGAGCUCAUCUCACAUAAUGGCCUGCAAAUGUCGUUAUCAGGCACCAGAAAGCAGGGAACUCUUGCGACGCUUCGAUGUGAGGUAGUAUUUCAUUUUAUAUCUUGAGGCUUCCAAGGAUACUGGAGACUCAGACAUCAUCUCAUGCUAAGCUGUUUGAGACAAACCACAAGUGAUCCCAGUCCUUGGAAGCUGGAGGCAGGCGAUCAGAAUUCCAAGGACUACACAGCAAGUUUGUGACUAGCCUGAGAUACAGGAGACGCUGGAGGCAGGCGGAUCAGAAUUCCAAGGACUACACAGCAAGCUGGAGGCAGGCGGAUCAGAAUUCCAAGGACUACACAGCAAGCUGGAGGCAGGCGAUCAGAAUUCCAAGGACUACACAGCAAGCUGGAGGCAGGCAAUCAGAAUUCCAAGGACUACACAGCAAGCUGGAGGCAGGCGAUCAGAAUUCCAAGGACUACACAGCAAGUUUGAGACUAGCCUGAGAUACAGGAGACCUAGUCUCAGGAGUUAAAAAAAUAAAAUAAAGACAAGCCUUGAAACCAAGACUCUCUCCAUUCUGAAACCUUUGGAGAAAAGGCCAAGUUGUGCCUGGACUAUCAUGCCCAAAAGCUUCUCUGAAAUUUCACCCUGCUCACCGGAAGGCCUGCCUAGCAGAGGUUCCAGUCACUUCAAUGUGUGGAUGACUUCCUCUGGGCCCUUUCAUGGCAGCAGGUGAGGGUAUUUUUGGCGGCCAAGGGCAGCAAAGUUUUGUUUUGUUUUCAUUUGCAAUAAGGUUUCACUAUGGAGGGCAGGGAAGCCAGCAUCUCACUAUAUAGCUGAGGGUAGCCUCAAACUUGUGAUCCUCCUGCCUUAGCCUCUUCAGUGCUGGGUCUGUAGUCAUGAAUCAUCAUAUCUGGAUAAGAAAGGGGCACUUUUAAAGUCAUAGGUGAAGUAUAAAUUAUUGCAGUCAUGGAAAACAGAAUUAAACUGGGUAUGAUGGUACACGCCUUUAAUCCCAGCACUCAGGAGGAAGAGGCGGGAAAAUCUCUGUGAGUUCGAGGCCAACCUGGUCUACAAAGUUCCAGGACAGCCAGGGUUGUUACACAGAGAAACCCUGUCUUGGAAAUAAAAAAAAAAAAGUCUAUUUGGCAUGUGAUCCUGUUCAGCCUCACUGCUGAGUAUAUCCCCCAAGGGUGUGGAGGUCAGCAGUGGCCCCUGCCUCCUAUGCAGAUGAGAUAAAAAAAAAUGGGCCACUCGUAAAAGACAAACUAGAUGCAAUUCAAACCCCUGCCGUCCGGCUACUAAGGUCUGAGGAAGAGCAAAAGCAGACUCUGAGGCUAGAGGAAAUCUCCGAGUAGAUACACUGCAAAGAAUACUGCCUUUGGGAGUCUUACUCGAGGAGACACCUGCCACACUCAACUGGAGAAACCUCCAAAAGAUCUUAGUAACAUCACUGUAAGUCACAUAGAACCAGCGGCUGAAUAGAAAGCUGGAAAAGGAAUGGCUUGCUGGCUCAGUACCAUGUCUUGUUUGAAUUUAAGUUGCUAUGGCAGAAACUGGAGGAUAAGGGCUUCUACAGAAAAGAGGUUUAUUUUGCUUACCAUUGGGGAGAUGCAGCAGCGUGACAGAAGCAUUUGCUUGGCUUUGGUGAGUGUCCCUUGACAGCACCAUGGUAGCAGAAGUCCAUGCAGAAGAGAUGGCUGUACAAAGCAGCAGGUGGUGCCAAGACAUCCGAACAUGAGCCCUAACAGCCUAGUCUGGGGAGAACUAACCUCCAUGAGACUAGCAUCGGUCCCUCAACCCCCACAAGACUAGCAUCAGUCCCUCCUGAGGCUGAUGCUCUUACUGACUCGAUCAUCUCCCAGUAGACCCUUAACAGUCACCCAACACACACACAACCUAAAAGCUGAUUUUGAUAAAAAAGUGCUGAGCCUUCAAUUGGUCCAGACAAGUACCCCAUGAUGAGAUAAUACACCAACUAGGAGUGGCCCCAAGCAGGAACGGCCGGUCAUCUGAUGGUCCCCUCAAAUGCUCUGGAACCAUUUUUAAAGAACCUGGACCAAAUAAAUGACCAACCAAAUCACAGAUCAACCAUGCCUGCUUAGCUUAGUCCUCACCUGCUCCAGUUACUCCCUGUACUAGCUGGUUUUGUGUCAAUUUGAUACAAGCUGGAGUCAUCACAGAGAAAGGAGCUUCAGUUGAGGAAAUGCCUCCAUGAGAUCCAGCUGCAAGGCAUUUCCUCAAUUAGUGAUCAAGGGGGAAAGGCCCCUUGUGGGUGGAACCAUCUCUUGGCUGGUAGUCUUGGGUUCUAUAAGAGAACAGGCUGAGCAAGCCAGGGGAAGCAAGCCAGUAAAGAACAUCCCUCCAUGGCCUCUGCAUCAGCUCCUGCUUUCUGACUUGCUUGAGUUCUAGUCCUGACUUCCUUGGUGAUGAACAGCAGUAUGGAAGUGUAAGCCGAAUAAACCCUUUGCUCCCCAAUUUGCUUCUUGGUCAUGAUGUUUUGUCCAGGAAUAGAAACCCUGACUAAGACACCCCCUAUUUUAAGUUUACAUUGGUUAAGUUUAUGGCUUGAUCUCCAUCUUCCAAAUACAACCAUACUGAAAAUUAAAUGUGUCUGCCUUUUCCUCUGCAUUUCCUUGCUUUAUUUAUGGGGUGAGUAGCUAGAUUUUGCUGAGGCCUUCCAGUGCUCACACCCAUGGGCCCAGCUCACCUGCACUCCUGUCACCAGGGCCAGCUCUACUUUGCUGCCCAAGUGAGUUGUGGGGCCUGGUCUGAGUGUUCAGCUGAUGAUGGGAAGAGACAGCUCUCCCCAUCUCUUGGUGAGACAUUUUCUUUUUAGUGAUUGCUGUGAGUGGAGCCCUCCCUGGGCUGGUGGUUC